rnacentral:rRNA from 1 species
UGAGUAACACGUGGGAACGUGCCUUUUGGUUCGGAAUAGCUCCUGGAAACGGGUGGUAAUGCCGAAUGUGCCCUUCGGGGGAAAGAUUUAUCGCCAUUAGAGCGGCCCGCGUCUGAUUAGCUAGUUGGUGAGGUAAAGGCUCACCAAGGCUACGAUCAGUAGCUGGUCUGAGAGGAUGACCAGCCACAUUGGGACUGAGACACGGCCCAAACUCCUACGGGAGGCAGCAGUGGGGAAUCUUGCGCAAUGGGCGAAAGCCUGACGCAGCCAUGCCGCGUGAAUGAUGAAGGUCUUAGGAUUGUAAAAUUCUUUCACCGGGGACGAUAAUGACGGUACCCGGAGAAGAAGCCCCGGCUAACUUCGUGCCAGCAGCCGCGGUAAUACGAAGGGGGCUAGCGUUGCUCGGAAUUACUGGGCGUAAAGGGAGCGUAGGCGGACAUUUAAGUCAGGGGUGAAAUCCCAGAGCUCAACUCUGGAACUGCCUUUGAUACUGGAUGUCUUGAGUGUGAGAGAGGUAUGUGGAACUCCGAGUGUAGAGGUGAAAUUCGUAGAUAUUCGGAAGAACACCAGUGGCGAAGGCGACAUACUGGCUCAUUACUGACGCUGAGGCUCGAAAGCGUGGGGAGCAAACAGGAUUAGAUACCCUGGUAGUCCACGCCGU